rnacentral:precursor_RNA from 8 species
UCCCUGUUUUAAAACUUAAGCAUCAGGGUCUUUUCCAAUGAGUCAGUUAUUUGGCCACCUGAUGCGAAGAACUGAGUCCUUUGGAAAAGACCCUGAUGCUGGGAAAGACUGAAGGCGGGA